rnacentral:misc_RNA from 1 species
GAUGAAGAACGCAGUGAAAUGCGAUAAGUAGUGUGAAUUGCAGAAUUCAGUGAAUCAUCGAAUCUUUGAACGCACAUUGCGCCCCUUGGUAUUCCAUGGGGCAUGCCUGUUCGAGCGUCAUUUGUACCCUCAAGCUUUGCUUGGUGUUGGGCGUCUUGUCUUGUAUUAGACUCGCCUUAAAGUCAUUGGCAGCCAGUGUUUUUGGUAGUAAGCGCAGCACAUUUUGCGUCUUAGUCCUUGAAUCGUGGCAUCCAUGAAGCCUUUUUUCACUUUUGACCUCGGAUCAGGUAGGGAUACCCGCUGAACUUAAGCAUAUCAAUAAGCGGAGGA